rnacentral:ncRNA from 1 species
GCUCUGGUCGGAAACCAGGGCCGAUGUAAGGAG